GUAGUCGGAUUCACAUCAAUCCAUAUGUGUUGAGAUGGAUUGGAGUUGAACAUGAACUAAAUUCCACCUCAAUCCAUACCAACACACGUGGAUUGAAAUGAAUCCGAUA
rfam:Sorghum bicolor cultivar BTx623 chromosome 5, whole genome shotgun sequence.